GAGCAAGAUGACUACCUCGAAGGUCCAUUCGCAGCGCAGCAAGAAGCUGCACCAGCUGUCUGCCAAGACGAGCAGGGUGAACCGCAACCGCAAGGCACCUCGUCUUUACAUGAAGGGCACGCUCGCCGGCUACACGCGUGGCCUGCAUGGUCAGACCAAGCAAACUGCACUGGUCCGCGUUGAGAACGUCAACACCCGCGAGGACGCCACGUGGUAUGUGGGCAAGCGCGUCUGCUACGUCUACCACGGCAAGAAGGUGAAGCGGUGUGUGCGCUGGAGCAAGGCGCCCGCGCGCCGCAGCACCACUCGUGCCUUGUGGGGUCGCGUGACACGCCCGCACGGUAACGCCGGUAUGAUGCGCGUCAAGUUCAACGGCGCGUCUGUGCCGGCGUCCGCCAUUGGCCGCCGCAUCCGUGUGUACCUUUACCCGAGCCAGAUCUGAGGAGGUGGUCAUUCCAUGAUUAUCUUGGUUUCCUUAAUUUUUUUUAUGCGUGUGCUUACUUU
rnacentral:misc_RNA from 1 species